GUACCAUACAGUAAAGCAAAAUAAUUAUAAAAUGAGAUAUACAUAAGAAGAUUGAGUAUGAGUGCCAAUGAGACAACUCUCCAUCCAAAUCACAAUGCAUAACAAUUUUAUAGCUCAAAGUACAGCUUUUUACGCAGAGCAUACACCGCACAGUAAGCUAUUGAGGGGUGUAAGAUGACAAGUUAAACAAUUCAAACAGACAAAACUAAUGGUAUAACCUAUAUAAAACAAGAGGCUUUCAGAGUGACAGCAAACCAGAUUUCCUACAGAGGUCGAAUCAUGAACAGUUGAGAAAGUAUGGACACUACAUUUAAGCUUUAAACUGCACUGAAUUUGGAUUGUGAUUGAUUAUUUGACUCAUCAUAGUUUUUGACACAAAAUGAAUGUGGUCAAAGAACUAAACCAUUGGAAAUUGAAAAAUUACCUAAUAUGGUCCAAUAUCAAAAGUAUAUUGUUAGAAUCAGUAUAUCAAAAAACCCAAGGAAUUACUUUUUUGAUAAAAUGAAACGAAGUUUAAUUUUAGUUAGGACACGUUUGACCUAAAUGUGGACCAAUUUGAUUAAUGAGCCGACAAUCAAAAAUCUCUAAAUACAUGUUACAAUUGGCAUUUCAAAGAACCCCAUACAUUCUAUUUUUAUUGAAAUCAAACAAAUUCUCAAUUUUUACCUUGAUUUUGACCAACUUGAAAACUGGACCCAAAAAGAUAAUAUAUAAACACAGGUUUUGAUUCAGCAUUUGAAAGAACUGUCUCUAUAUAUAUGUUACAGUAAUUUUUCUAAAUUGAGACAUUUUGUAAAAUGACUGAAUUUUUAGGCAUUUUCUAAAAUGCCUAAAGUUGACAGGCAUUUUAUGAAAUGCCUAAAUAAACCUAGUCAUUUUGUAAAAUGCCUGUAAGUUUUAAUGAAAAUUUUAAAAA
rnacentral:lncRNA from 1 species